rnacentral:lncRNA from 1 species
CCUCCCCACCAGCGACCCCACAUCCCUGCCAGCCCAGACUGCCUCCUCCAGGGCCCCGUGUCCGGCCCCAGCCCUGGGGUGGAGGUGACAGCAGCCACACCCCCUCCAAACACUCCACAUCACAAGCCUCCCUUUGAGGAGUUUGACGUCUUAAUGCUGGCACGGCAGGGACGGGUUUACCGUGAUCAGCAAUAGUGAUCCGCGCCAUUUGCAUUUACAGAGCUGCAGCCAUGGCUUGUGGAGGGGCCAUCGGGAGCCGGGCCAUGGGCGUCCCCUUAAGCCUGGCAGGUGGAGUCAGAGACUCUGCUGGUGCAAAACAAACCCUGAGGAGCUCAGGGCUAUAGAAAAAAAAAAACAAGUGCGUGGUUGGCCUCUGAAUGCUGCUUCCUGAUGGAUCGUGAUUACUCACCCUCAGCUCUGUGGUCAGGGCCUCCCUGAGGUCUGAGGGUGGCCUGGCUCUCAAAUGGUAGGCAUCAGACAGGGACUUCCGGAGCCUGGUCUGGAGAUCCUGGGGCACCUCCAUCUGCCCUCUUUCCAGGCUGCGUGACAGAGGCAGAAACCUUCACUCCAAAGACAGCCGUGAGCCUACACGCCCACCCAAGAGCCAGAGAGGUGUCUUCACGCAAGUCCUUUUCCGAAAAACCAAGCAGACGUCACCUCCCGUCGCCACCACCGUCACCCACACCAUCAUCAACGCCUCCCCACACAACCACUCCACCAUCACCAACAUGGAAACAACACCCGCCACCACCCUCCCUGCCACAGCGCCACCGCCCAACAUCAGCACCUGCCCCGACGCGAGGCCCGCAGCCCGCCAACACCAGCCUGGGGUCGGCACUCAGGCCCAGGGCAGCACAGACCCUGCCCUCAGGGAGCUUGCGCUCUGGUGACCACGAGACCAACAAGGAACAGACCAGCAGCUACGCUCAGCGCUCAGCGUCUGUGGCGGCUGUAACGGUGGGCCCGUUGUUCAGAACACGGGGAGAAGUGUCGCUAAAGGCACCAAAAGUGAAGCUGUUCUUUCUUCCAAAAUCUCUCUCUCUCUUCUCGUCACAGUUUUUCAUUUGCUAUUUAACGUUGUUCUAAUUAGAUAAAAAAUUUGAAUCAUUAGCAUGAAUUUUUUGCCGUUCCUUUUUGUAUGAUGUGAAUACACAUUCACCUUUAUACAUUAUGCAGUUUUAAGUGCACAUGUGGAGCGUGUAAUUCACAUGCACCAUCAGCAGCACUACAAGAUGUGUGUUGAGUGGCUCCUUCCAGAAGGUGCCUGAAGUCCGCCAGGAGAGACAGCAAACCAGAGGAGGGAGUUGGAGGAAGGGGGGGACCCCCA